rfam:Loxodonta africana unplaced genomic scaffold scaffold_17, whole genome shotgun sequence.
CCCUGGGUGGCACAAAUGGUUAAGCGCUCGGCUACUAACCAAAAGAUUGGUGGUUCAAAUCCACCCAGAGGCA